AGGGGAGUGAAAUAGAACCUGAAACCGGAUGCCUACAAACAGUCGGAGCCCGCAAGGGUGACGGCGUACCUUUUGUAUAAUGGGUCAACGACUUAGUGUAACUAGCAAGCUUAAGCCGGUAGGUGUAGGCGCAGCGAAAGCGAGUCUGAAUAGGGCGAUUGAGUUAGUUGCAUUAGACCCGAAACCGAGUGAUCUAGCCAUGAGCAGGCUGAAGGUUGGGUAACACCAACUGGAGGGCCGAACCCGUAUCUGUUGCAAUAGAUUGGGAUGACUUGUGGCUAGGGGUGAAAGGCCAAUCAAACUCGGAAAUAGCUGGUUCUCCGCGAAAUCUAUUUAGGUAGAGCGUCGACCGAAUACCCUCGGGGGUAGAGCACUGGAUGGGCUAUGGGGACUCACCGUCUUACUGAUCCUAACCAAACUCCGAAUACCGAGGAGUACUAGUCGGCAGACACACGGCGGGUGCUAACGUCCGUCGUGAAAAGGGCAACAACCCUGACCUCCAGCUAAGGUCCCCAAGUCAUGGCUAAGUGGGAAAGGAUGUGAGGAUCCCAAAACAACCAGGAUGUUGGCUUAGAAGCAGCCAUCAUUUAAAGAAAGCGUAACAGCUCACUGGUCUAAAUAAGGGUCUUUGCGCCGAAAAUGUAACGGGGCUAAAGCCAUGCACCGAAGCUGAGGAUGUGACAGUUGUAGUGACUGUUGCGUGGUAGCGGAGCGUUCCGUAAGUCUGUGAAGGCGGACCCGUGAGGGCUGCUGGAGAUAUCGGAAGUGCGAAUGUUGACAUGAGUAACGAUAAAGGGAGUGAGAGACUCCCUCGCCGAAAGACCAAGGGUUCCUGCUUAAAGUUAAUCUGAGCAGGGUUAGCCGGCCCCUAAGACGAGGCGGACACGCGUAGUCGAUGGGAACCACGUUAAUAUUCGUGGGCCUGGUGGUAGUGACGGAUCUCGUGUGUUGUACAUUCUUACUGGAUUGAAUGUGCGGCGAAGAGGUUCCAGGAAAUAGCUCCACCGUAUAGACCGUACCCGAAACCGACACAGGUGGUCAGGUAGAGUAUACCAAGGCGCUUGAGAGAACUAUGUUGAAGGAACUCGGCAAAUUGCACGCGUAACUUCGGAAGAAGCGUGACCCCAUUUUACGCAAGUAUGAUGGGGUGGCACAGACCAGGGGGUAGCGACUGUUUAUCAAAAACACAGGGCUCUGCGAAGUAGCAAUACGACGUAUAGGGUCUGACGCCUGCCCGGUGCUGGAAGGUUAAAGGGAGGGGUGCAAGCUCUGAACUGAAGCCCCAGUAAACGGCGGCCGUAACUAUAACGGUCCUAAGGUAGCGAAAUUCCUUGUCGGGUAAGUUCCGACCUGCACGAAUGGCGUAACGACUUCCCCGCUGUCUCCAACAUAGACUCAGUGAAAUUGAAUUCCCCGUGAAGAUGCGGGGUUCCUGCGGUCAGACGGAAAGACCCCGUGCACCUUUACUAUAGCUUUACACUGGCAUUCGCCAAGGCAUGUGUAGGAUAGGUGGUAGGCUUUGAAGCAGGGACGCCAGUUCUUGUGGAGCCAUCCUUGAAAUACCACCCUUAUCUUCGUGGAUGUCUAACCGCGGUCCGUUAUCCGGAUCCGGGACAGUGUAUGGUGGGUAGUUUGACUGGGGCGGUCGCCUCCGAAAGAGUAACGGAGGCGCGCGAUGGUGGGCUCAGACCGGUCGGAAAUCGGUCGUCGAGUGCAAUGGCAUAAGCCCGCCUGACUGCGAGACUGACAAGUCGAGCAGAGACGAAAGUCGGUCAUAGUGAUCCGGUGGUCCCGUGUGGAAGGGCCAUCGCUCAACGGAUAAAAGGUACGCCGGGGAUAACAGGCUGAUGACCCCCAAGAGUCCAUAUCGACGGGGUUGUUUGGCACCUCGAUGUCGACUCAUCGCAUCCUGGGGCUGGAGCAGGUCCCAAGGGUAUGGCUGUUCGCCAUUUAAAGCGGUACGUGAGUUGGGUUCAGAACGUCGUGAGACAGUUCGGUCCCUAUCUGCCGUGGGUGUAGGAAUAUUGACAGGAUCUGUCCCUAGUACGAGAGGACCGGGAUGGAC
rnacentral:rRNA from 1 species